rnacentral:rRNA from 1 species
GAUGAACGCUGGCGGCGUGCUUAACACAUGCAAGUCGAACGGGAUCCAUCAAGCUUGCCUGGUGGUGAGAGUGGCGAACGGGUGAGUAAUGCGUGACCGACCUGCCCCAUACACCGGAAUAGCUCCUGGAAACGGGUGGUAAUGCCGGAUGCUCCAGUUGAUCGCAUGGUCUUCUGGGAAAGCUUUCGCGGUAUGGGAUGGGGUCGCGUCCUAUCAGCUUGACGGCGGGGUAACGGCCCACCGUGGCUUCGACGGGUAGCCGGCCUGAGAGGGCGACCGGCCACAUUGGGACUGAGAUACGGCCCAGACUCCUACGGGAGGCAGCAGUGGGGAAUAUUGCACAAUGGGCGCAAGCCUGAUGCAGCGACGCCGCGUGAGGGAUGGAGGCCUUCGGGUUGUAAACCUCUUUUAUCGGGGAGCAAGCGA